GGAAGGGUACAGCUCAGUGGUGGAGCAUGUGCCUCGUGUGCAUGAGGUCCUGGGUUCCAUCCCCAGCACCUCCA
rfam:Camelus ferus unplaced genomic scaffold scaffold2578, whole genome shotgun sequence.